UAAACGCUGGCGGCGUGCAUGAGACAUGCAAGUCGAACGGGCGACUCGGGCUUGCUCGAGUCGCUAGUGACGAACGGCUGAGUAACGCGUAGGUGACCUGCCCCGAAGUGGGGGAUAACUGCCCGAAAGGGUGGCUAAUACCGCAUGUGGUCACACGUUCAUUCGUGUGAGCAAAGCAGCGAUGCGCUUCGGGAGUGGCCUGCGUCCGAUUAGCUCGUUGGGGGGUAACGGCUCACCAAGGCGACGAUCGGUAGGUGGUCUGAGAGGACGAUCACCCAGACUGGGACUGAGACACGGCCCAGACUCCUACGGGAGGCAGCAGUCGGGAAUUUUGCCCAAUGGACGAAAGUCUGAGGCAGCAACGCCGCGUGAGGGAUGAAGGCCUCGGUCGUAA
rnacentral:rRNA from 1 species